ACAUGCCUACAACAUAGCAUUAAUGCAUUAGAUCCCAUUAGAACUCCGCAGUUAAGCGUGCUCAGGAUAGAGUAGUGUUGGGAUGGGUGACCGCUCAAGAAGUCCUAGUGUUUUACAUGCC
rnacentral:rRNA from 1 species